rnacentral:rRNA from 1 species
UACGUAGGGACCAAGCGUUGUUCGGAUUUACUGGGCGUAAAGGGCGCGUAGGCGGCGUGACAAGUCACUUGUGAAAUCUCCGGGCUUAACUCGGAACGGUCAAGUGAUACUGUUGUGCUAGAGUACAGAAGGGGCAAUCGGAAUUCUUGGUGUAGCGGUGAAAUGCGUAGAUAUCAAGAGGAACACCAGAGGCGAAGGCGGAUUGCUGGGCUGAUACUGACGCUGAGGAGCGAAAGCGUGGGGAGCGAACAGG